UACGUAGGGGGCAAGCGUUGUCCGGAUUUAUUGGGCGUAAAGAGCGUGUAGGCGGCUUUACAGGUCCGUUGUGAAAACUCGAGGCUCAACCUCGAGACGCCGGUGGAAACCGUAAGGCUAGAGUCCGGAAGAGGAGAGUGGAAUUCCUGGUGUAGCGGUGAAAUGCGCAGAUAUCAGGAGGAACACCCGUGGCGAAAGCGGCUCUCUGGGCAGUUCCUGACGCUGAGGCACGAAGGCCAGGGGAGCAAACGGG
rnacentral:rRNA from 1 species